AUUGAACGCUGGCGGCAUGCCUUACACAUGCAAGUCGAACGGCAGCGCGGGCAACCUGGCGGCGAGUGGCGAACGGGUGAGUAAUAUAUCGGAACAUACCCUAGAGUGGGGAUAACGUAGCGAAAGUUACGCUAAUACCGCAUACGCACUAAGGUGGAAAGUGGGGGAUUCGCAAGAACCUCAUGCUCAUGGAGUGGCCGAUAUCUGAUUAGCUAGUUGGUGAGGUAAAGGCUCACCAAGGCGACGAUCAGUAGCUGGUUUGAGAGAACGACCAGCCACACUGGAACUGAGACACGGUCCAGACUCCUACGGGAGGCAGCAGUGGGGAAUUUUGGACAAUGGGGGCAACCCUGAUCCAGCAAUGCCGCGUGAGUGAAGAAGGCCUUCGGGUUGUAAAGCUCUUUUGUCAGGGAAGAAACGGUGAGUUCUAAUAAAGCUUGCUAAUGACGGUACCUGAAGAAUAAGCACCGGCUAACUACGUG
rnacentral:rRNA from 1 species